rnacentral:rRNA from 1 species
UACAUGGGGUGCAAACGUUGCUCGGAAUUAUUGGGCGUAAAGCGCACGUAGGCGGUUCGUUAAGUCGGAUGUGAAAGCCCUCGGCUCAACUGAGGAAGUGCACCCGAAACUGGCGAGCUUGAGUACGAAAGAGGAUCGCGGAAUUCCCGGUGUAGAGGUGAAAUUCGUAGAUAUCGGGAGGAACACCGGUGGCGAAGGCGGGUCUCUGGGCCGUAACUGACGCUGAGGAGCGAAAGCGUGGGGAGCGAACAGG